GACGAACGCUGGCGGCGUGCCUAAUACAUGCAAGUUGAGCGCUGAAGGUUGGUACUUGUACCGACUGGAUGAGCAGCGAACGGGUGAGUAACGCGUGGGGAAUCUGCCUUUGAGCGGGGGACAACAUUUGGAAACGAAUGCUAAUACCGCAUAAAAACUUUAAACACAAGGUUUAAGGUUGAAAGAUGCAAUUGCAUCACUCAAAGAUGAUCCCGCGUUGUAUUAGCUAGUUGGUGAGGUAAAGGCUCACCAAGGCGAUGAUACAUAGCCGACCUGAGAGGGGGAUCGGCCACAUUGGGACUGAGACACGGCCCAAACUCCUACGGGAGGCAGCAGUAGGGAAUCUUCGGCAAUGGACGAAAGUCUGACCGAGCAACGCCGCGUGAGUGAAGAAGGUUUUCGGAUCGUAAAACUCUGUUGGUAGAGAAGAACGUUGGUGAGAGUGGAAAGCUCAUCAAGUGACGGUAACUACCCAGAAAGGGACGGCUAACUACGUG
rnacentral:rRNA from 1 species